rnacentral:tRNA from 1 species
GCUCGUCUAGCUCUGUCGGUACAGCAUGAGACUCUUAAUCUCAGGGUCGUGGGUUCGUGCCCCACGUUGGGUG